rnacentral:tRNA from 1 species
UAAGAAUUAAUUAAAAUAUAAUAUAAAUUUGUCAAAUUUAAAUUAAAUAAUCAAUAUUUAUUCUUAA